AGUGAACGCUGGCGGUAGGCCUAACACAUGCAAGUCGAACGGCAGCACAGUAAGAGCUUGCUCUUACGGGUGGCGAGUGGCGGACGGGUGAGGAAUACAUCGGAAUCUACUUUUUCGUGGGGGAGAACGUAGGGAAACUUACGCUAAUACCGCAUACGACCUACGGGGGGAAGCAGGGGAUCUUCGGACCUUGCGCGGUUGAAUGAGCCGAUGUCGGGUUAGCUAGUUGGCGGGGUAAAGGCCCACCGAGGCGACGAUCCGUAGCGGGUCUGAGAGGAUGAUCCGCCACACUGGGACUGAGACACGGUCCAGACUCCUACGGGAGGCAGCAGUGGGGAAUAUUGGACGAUGGGCGCAAGCCUGCUCCAGCCAUACCGCGUGGGUGAAGAAGGCCUUCGGGUUGUAAAGCCCUUUUGUUGGGAAAGAAAAGCAGCAGGUUAAUACCCCGCUGUUCUGACGGUACCCAAAGAAUAAGCACCGGCUAACUUCGUG
rnacentral:rRNA from 1 species